rnacentral:rRNA from 1 species
AGCGGCGGACGGGUGAGUAAUGCCUGGGAAUAUGCCCUGAUGUGGGGGAUAACUAUUGGAAACGAUAGCUAAUACCGCAUAAUCUCUUCGGAGCAAAGAGGGGGACCUUCGGGCCUCUCGCGUCAGGAUUAGCCCAGGUGGGAUUAGCUUGUUGGUGAGGUAAUGGCUCACCAAGGCAACGAUCCCUAGCUGGUCUGAGAGGAUGAUCAGCCACACUGGAACUGAGAUACGGUCCAGACUCCUACGGGAGGCAGCAGUGGGGAAUAUUGCACAAUGGGGGAAACCCUGAUGCAGCCAUGCCGCGUGUGUGAAGAAGGCCUUCGGGUUGUAAAGCACUUUCAGUAGGGAGGAAGGUAGUGUAGUUAACACCUGCAUUAUUUGACGUUACCUACAGAAGAAGCACCGGCUAACUCCGUGCCAGCAGCCGCGGUAAUACGGAGGGUGCGAGCGUUAAUCGGAAUUACUGGGCGUAAAGCGCAUGCAGGCGGCCUGUUAAGUCAGAUGUGAAAGCCCGGGGCUUAACCUCGGAAUUGCAUUUGAAACUGGCAGG